CUACGGGUCGCACCAGUGAGGAAUAUUGCACAAUGGGGGGAACCCUGAUGCAGCAACGCCGCGUGGAGGAUGACGCAUUUCGGUGUGUAAACUCCUUUUAUAUGUCAAGAAAAUGACGGUAGCAUAUGAAUAAGCACCGGCUAACUCCGUGCCAGCAGCCGCGGUAAUACGGAGGGUGCAAGCGUUACUCGGAAUCACUGGGCGUAAAGGACGCGUAGGCGGGUUGGAAAGUCAGGUGUGAAAUCCUACAGCUUAACUGUGGAACUGCACUUGAAACUACGAGCCUAGAGUAUGGGAGGGGCAGAUGGAAUUAGUGGUGUAGGGGUAAAAUCCGUAGAUAUCACUAGGAAUACCUAAAGCGAAGGCGAUCUGCUGGAACAUAACUGACGCUAAGGCGUGAAAGCGUGGGGAGCUAACAGGAUUAGAUACCCCUGUAGUC
rnacentral:rRNA from 1 species